rnacentral:rRNA from 1 species
UACAGAGGGGGCAAGCGUUGUUCGGAAUUACUGGGCGUAAAGGGCGCGUAGGCGGCCUGUUAAGUCGAACGUGAAUCCCCGGGCUCAACCCGGGAACUGCGUCCGAUACUGGCAGGCUUGAGUACUAAAGAGGGUCGCGGAAUUCCCGGUGUAGAGGUGAAAUUCGUAGAUAUCGGGAGGAACACCGGUGGCGAAGGCGGCGACCUGGGUAGAUACUGACGCUGAUGCGCGAAAGCGUGGGGAGCAAACGGG